rnacentral:rRNA from 1 species
AUUGAACGCUGGCGGCAGGCCUAACACAUGCAAGUCGGGCGAGUGGCGGACGGGUGAGUAAUGUAUGGGGAUCUGCCUGAUGGCGGGGGAUAACUACUGGAAACGGUAGCUAAUACCGCAUACCAUCAGAUGAACCCAUAUGGGAUUAGCUAGUAGGUAAGGUAAAGGCUUACCUAGGCGACGAUCCCUAGCUGGUCUGAGAGGAUGAUCAGCCACACUGGGACUGAGACACGGCCCAGACUCCUACGGGAGGCAGCAGUGGGGAAUAUUGCACAAUGGGCGCAAGCCUGAUGCAGCCAUGCGGCGUGUAGGAAGAAGGCCUUCGGGUUGUAAAGUACUUUCAGUCGGGAGGCGGUACCGACAGAAGAAGCACCGGCUAACUACGUGCCAGCAGCCGCGGUAAUAC